CUGACAAAAUUGCAAAGUUUAAAUAUAUAAAGCUAAGAAACAUACUAAUUAUAAGACUUCUUGAGAAUUCGUUUUAUGUGUGCCAACAUACAAAGUAUAAUGGAAGCAUUAUUUAUCAUGAGGCUCCUUAUUAUGGUUAUGUUUGGGCAAACAUAAAAGUUAUAAUUGUUUUGUUAUAGUUAAGAAUUAUAUAAUUUCACUUAUAAUUUCAAAGUUUGGGCUGUCGUGCUCGUGAUGCCGCCAAAAGAUAGCGUCAUCAAUUUUGCUACGGAACUGCAUCUGAAUAGAGGACCGCUGCACCACCGUUUUAAAUGUCUCCCGUAAAAGCAAUUUCUAUAUCAGACUGGAUUAUCCUCAUCGUCAGCCCUACCGCCAACUCGGAAACGGUUCAGCAUCUGCAGCUGGUCAAAAUAAAUCCCAAUGUUCGAUGAUCGUUGGUACCGGAACAUCCAGCAGCAACAGCAGUAGGAGCAGUAGGAUCGUUGGACCACCGCAUGUCUCCCGCAAAAGCCACUUUGACAACAGACUGGAUUACCAUCACCGCCAGCUCGGAAACGAUUAGGCAGCCGCACCUGGAGUGGGUAAACGAUGUGAGCCCCAAAAUUCCGAUUCCGAUAAUCGUUAGUACCGGAUCACCCAGCAGCAACAGUAGAAGCGCCUACACCCGCAUGUAAUUAUCCCGCACCAGCAGCAGCCAGUUCCGGCAGACUUCUGUUGUCCGGAUCUCAUCAACAACGGUAUCAAAGUCGAUAAGGGUAGGAUCGGAACGUUGGCAGGGGAAAUUCAGCGGAGUUGGCACCGAACCGGCAGUUCCAGAUCAUCAGCAGCAGCUUGAGCAGCAGGAAAGGUCCUAACGGAUGCAACAAAUUAUGCUACAUGGUUGUUUUUGGAAUGCCUUGGAGUUCACAAUGUCGUACGCACAGUACUUCGGCUUUGUUCAAUCAUUUUGCGGAAUUAUCCAUGGAAAUAGUGGAAUCUAAUCAUAUUUAUUUUCUUUGUUGAUUAUGGCAUAAAUAAAUUGUUUACAAAUUUA